CAAGUGUUCAUGUAACAUUUCAAUUUCAAAGAAUGCAGACUGAGAUGAGAACGGGCAUACCUGCUUCCGGAGACGAUGAAGAUGGCUGCAGUUGAUUCUGACUCUGGGUUGAUCAAUGCUUGCAGUUUCUCUGUUUUCCCUUGUUCACUUUGCUUGCGUUCUGGGGACGAAGGCAACGCUGGCUUUUGCUCUCUUCUCCUUUGUCUUUUUAGUCAGUCUCUCCCUAUUUCCAGUGUUCUCCCCCCUAUGUUUUUUUCCUGUUUCCGUUCGUGCUCUCCCUUUUUUUUUUCUCUAAGGCCAGAGAGUGUCAGUGAUCGUUAACAGUCCUGCACUUGCAGGACUGUAGUGGAUUCGGAGACGGGAUCGUGGGCAGGAGACGUGGUCCAUGAUUGGAUCGAAUUUGCUGUAGAUUUCCCUGUUGAAUCGGCUUUCUCCGCGUGAAACGAAAGGGAUAAUGAACAGUGCUUCAAAACGGCGCCGUUUAUGUCCUUGGGAAUGACUAUCUUCACCUUGGCCCCUAAACGUUUUAAAUUUAACAAUUGGUAUCCUAAUCAGUAAUAAUCAAUUUCUAAUUUUGCCCCUGGAUUAAUUUCAAUUGAA